AUAUAUGUCUUGAGAGAAUUAAGUCUUCUAUGCAUAGAACAAGCACAGUCCAGUCAGUGUCCGUAGAAGCUUCUCCAUAUUGCCUCACUAGUGUACCUCAGCCUUGAUCAAGUAGGACCAUCUCUAGAGUGAGUGGCUCGUUCAAGACUCCAUACCAGUUUAAUCCUUGAACUCU
rnacentral:sRNA from 1 species